rnacentral:lncRNA from 1 species
GACGCCCAGGUACGAUCUCAGGGUCCAUGAAUCAAAGUAAUAUAUUGACUCGAACAUAUUAAUGUCUCAGUCAAAAAUAUGUUAAGUCCAGGAGGACCCAGAGCGUAUGAAAAUCCAGGCAGCGCCCUUCUGAUAUCCGAAGUCGCCUGCAUAAUGAUCAGAAACAACGGCAUAGUCUCCGUAGAGAGCAACACGGUGACCAAAGUAACUCACCCUGGAGCUAUCUGUGGCACUAAGUUUUCGCUGUUGUGUCCAUGAUGUGCCAUACCUAACCCCGGCGGUGCGUGAACCUUGCCCAAAAAAAUAUGAACUGCGGUUUGCCGCCCGCGCCAUUUUUCUUCUCUGC